rnacentral:rRNA from 1 species
AUUGAACGCUGGCGGCAGGCCUAACACAUGCAAGUCGAGCGGAUGAAGGGAGCUUGCUCCUGGAUUCAGCGGCGGACGGGUGAGUAAUGCCUAGGAAUCUGCCUGGUAGUGGGGGAUAACGUCCGGAAACGGGCGCUAAUACCGCAUACGUCCUGAGGGAGAAAGUGGGGGAUCUUCGGACCUCACGCUAUCAGAUGAGCCUAGGUCGGAUUAGCUAGUUGGUGGGGUAAAGGCCUACCAAGGCGACGAUCCGUAACUGGUCUGAGAGGAUGAUCAGUCACACUGGAACUGAGACACGGUCCAGACUCCUACGGAAGGCAGCAGUGGGGAAUAUUGGACAAAGGGCGAAAGCCUGAUCCAGCCAUGCCGCGUGUGUGAAGAAGGUCUUCGGAUUGUAAAGCACUUUAAGUUGGGAGGAAGGGCAGUAAGUUAAUACCUUGCUGUUUUGACGUUACCAACAGAAUAAGCACCGGCUAACUUCGUG